UACGUAGGGGGCGAGCGUUGUCCGGAAUUAUUGGGCGUAAAGGGCGCGCAGGCGGUCUGUUAAGUCUGUGGUGAAAAGACCGGGGCUCAACCCCGGAGUGUCCGCAGAGACUGGCAGACUGGAGUAUCGGAGAGGAGUGCGGAAUACCUGGUGUAGCGGUGGAAUGCGUAGAGAUCAGGUGGAACACCGAUGGCGAAGGCAGCACUCUGGCCGAGUUACUGACGCUGAGGCGCGAAAGCUGGGGGAGCGAACGGG
rnacentral:rRNA from 1 species